UACGGAGGAUGCAAGCGUUAUCCGGAUUUAUUGGGUUUAAAGGGUGCGCAGGUUGUUUGAUAAGUUAGUGGUGAAAGUCUGUCGCUUAACGGUAGGAUUGCCAUUGAUACUGUUGGACUUGAAUAUGGAUGAGGUAGGCGGAAUGUGUAGUGUAGCGGUGAAAUGCAUAGAUAUUACACAGAACACCGAUUGCGAAGGCAGCUUACUAAUCCAUCAUUGACGCUGAGGCACGAAAGCGUGGGGAUCAAACAGGA
rnacentral:rRNA from 1 species